AACGAACGCUGGCGGCAUGCCUAACACAUGCAAGUCGAACGAAGCCUUCGGGCUUAGUGGCGCACGGGUGCGUAACGCGUGGGAAUCUGCCCUUGGGUUCGGAAUAACAGUUAGAAAUGACUGCUAAUACCGGAUGAUGUCUUCGGACCAAAGAUUUAUCGCCCAAGGAUGAGCCCGCGUAGGAUAGGUAGUUGGUGGGGUAAUGGCCCACCAAGCCGACGAUCCUUAGCUGGUCUGAGAGGAUGAUCAGCCACACUGGGACUGAGACACGGCCCAGACUCCUACGGGAGGCAGCAGUGGGGAAUAUUGGACAAUGGGCGAAAGCCUGAUCCAGCAAUGCCGCGUGAGUGAUGAAGGCCUUAGGGUUGUAAAGCUCUUUUACCAGGGAUGAUAAUGACAGUACCUGGAGAAUAAGCUCCGGCUAACUCCGUGCCAGCCGCCGCCGUAAAAC
rnacentral:rRNA from 1 species